GUGAAAGCAAGAUUUUCAAAUCUGCGCUGCCUCUUUCUUAAUGGCUGAAGAUCAUCCAUGUCAUACGACUGACUGCGCUGACGUUUUCUGCUGUCUGGAACAAAAUUGAAUGCCCAUCAUGAGAGAAAUGGACUGGCAGAGAUUUGCUCCAACACUGAAAUAUAUGUAGAUCUGCUCUCUCAUCUCUUCAGUUUUUGGUAAGUACCCCUUUCAAGUCAUCGCGGGACAACGAGGGACAUCGUGGGAGCACCAAGAAUGCACGAAUAGUGCAGUAUAGUAAGUGAGCAUGCUUUCCUUUGGGUAGGUGUUAGGUUCUGUUAGGCGUCAGGAUUUUCACUUUUCAGGGAUGCAAGGAACUAAUCAAUUACUGUGAGUUUUCAGAUCUGCUGUCUUCCAAAACUAUUUCUUGAUGCCAGUGUGAAUAUGUGGAAGAAAAAGCUUGAGCAGUUCUUCUCACGGCACACUGUCCCUGCUAUCUAGAGUACAGUGAAAGUUGCGGCGGUGAGGCUUCCUGGGCACGGCGGCUGGCAGCUGAAUGUCCCUCUACCGGACGGGCUUCUCCCUUGGCUCGGGAUAAAGGCGCGUGUUGGCCAGCUUGUUCUGAUGGUCAUGAGGGCUUCUGGAUAACGCAGGGUUGUUGUUAAGCAUCUGCCAGUCAAGCUGAACUUAUUGCAAGGAUUAACAAUAAAAUAUAAAACUGGGAAUCUUUGCCUCUUUUAACGGAGCUCCCCAGUACCAGGAUGGAAAUCUGGUGCGACACUGCAUGAACUUGUUCAGCCACUGAACAAUGUGUUUGAGUGGAGACGAAAAACGAGGGGUAUCUGCUGACUCUUCCCCCCAAAAGAUAAACUCCAAAUGCUGAGGCAAUAAGGUAAUAGACGAAUCCUUUGCUGUUAGAGUUAUGGUAGUAGUAGUAGUAGUAGUAGUAGUAGUAGUAGUAGUAGUAGUAGUUGUAGUUGUAUGAGUGUAGAAGGCGGUGUGAAAGUACCAUUUUGAACAAUCCUUCGCUCACUUGUAUUACUGAAUGAAAAGGAUAUGCCUGAGGCGUGGAGAAGCGGUGAGUAGUAGGGCGUAGCAAGAGGGAACACGGGAGGAUGCACGGAGGGGAGCAGGCGGGAGAGGGGAGAAGGGGAGAGGGGAAGGUAGCAGCGGCUAUCAUGAGGGAAUCCAGCCAAUCCCUCGAUAAGCCCAGCAGGAAACUGAUUGCAGCCUCCACGGGUCAGUGUGGUGUGGCCUCACGCAGCGCCCUGGAGUGGGUGGGGUGGGACUAAAGAGGAGCAGGAGGAGGACCAUCCCAAGCGAAGGGGAGGAGCUUAAGGGGGAAGGUGGGGAAACAGCCGUUCGGGAAGUGUGGACGGGAAAACUUCAGGCAUGGCGGAGACGAAGGAAAGAGGGAUAGACUUGG